CUACAAUAUUAUACUGGGUAUAGACAGGCAACUCGGGUUCUAUGGGCGGUCCUUUCGAGUGAGCGCCAUCUAGUGUUUGUCUAGGCAAAACUUUGCCAUAUCGUAUAUAUAGCUACCUAUAGGUACAGCUAUAGAAUGUAGUACCUACUCAAAUAAAAUUGUACUUAGCUGCCCGGCUAGCAUGGGCAGUAGAUAAAAAUUAUAUCCCCCGAUUAUAUCCACUGAUGUCAUAAAAAUCAGUGGAUAUUGUUUUUUAGUAUGUGAUCAUUGUAAUAAGCAGUGUAGGAUUUUUAUUACAAAAAAAAAAAAUAUAAAUUGCGAUUUGCGAUUGUAAACUUAUCGCAGUAUUUUAUUUAAGCAAAGUGUGCGAUAUAAGUUUUAAAAGUAUAUAUUUUUACACUAAAAAUAUUUUUACUAAGUGCUAAUUUAAGUGAUUUUAACUCUAAAACCGCUGUCUAAAAUAAAGUGAGUUAGAAUUCCAGAAGUUAUGUCCCAUUGAAUAUUCUGCAGGGGGCGCCAUGUGAGCGGCGGCACGCGAGAUGGCGGUGGGCGAGGCGCGCGUACCGCUACUCCGAGAGGAACGACUAGCGCACCAUGGCGAGUCAGCGAAGAGCAAGCAGCUGUCCGGGACAGCGCUAGUGGUGACGUCACUGCUGUCCGGCGCCGCGGCCGGUGCGCUGGCCAAGACCGUCAUAGCCCCUCUCGACCGCACCAAGAUCAACUUCCAGACCUCCGAGAUCCCGUACUCAGCGCGCGCGGCGGUACGCUUUAUAGCGCACAGCGCACGCACGGAAGGAUUUGUAGCGCUAUGGCGCGGCAACAGCGCCACCAUGGCGCGCAUCAUACCAUACGCCGCUAUACAGUUCACCGCGCACGAGCAGUGGAAGCGGGUACUGGGAGUGGACACGCCACAGACUGCUCAAGAGUCGCCCGUGCGGCUGCUGGUGGCGGGCUCGCUGGCGGGCGUGACGUCACAGAGCGCCACCUACCCGCUGGACCUGGCGCGCGCGCGCAUGGCCGUCGCGGACUACCGCUCCCUGCGAGCCGUGUUCACGAGGGUGCUGAGGGAGGAGGGCCCCGUCACGCUGUACAGAGGCUUCCCCGCAACGGUGCUGGGCGUCAUCCCGUAUGCGGGAGUCUCGUUCUUCACCUACGACACACUGAGGCAUUGGUAUCUAGACUACACGGGUUCGAGCCCGCGAGGCAUCACUAACAUGGCGUGUGGCGGAGUGGCCGGCGCGCUCGCGCAGACCGCGUCCUACCCGCUCGACAUCGUGCGGCGCCGCAUGCAGACCGCGCGGCGUCGUGCGGACAAGACGUACCCGUACCCCACCAUACUGGACACGCUGGCUACGGUGUACAGGUUGGAAGGCUGGCGCGGGUUCUUCAAGGGGCUGAGCAUGAACUGGGUGAAGGGGCCCAUCGCCGUCGGCAUCUCCUUCUCCUCCUACGACGCCAUCAAGCGCACACUCCGAGACGUCUCCCUCACGCUCACCACGUGAGGGGCACGCUGGUAAUCACUGAUUACCGAGAUUACCUGUUGUUUUAUUAUGUACUACGUAAGAAGUGACGUC